UAGGGAAUCUUCGGCAAUGGACGAAAGUCUGGCCGAGCAACGCCGCGUGAGUGAAGAAGGUUUUCGGAUCGUAAAACUCUGUUGGUAGAGAAGAACGUUGGUGAGAGUGGAAAGCUCAUCAAGUGACGGUAACUACCCAGAAAGGGACGGCUAACUACGUGCCAGCAGCCGCGGUAAUACGUAGGUCCCGAGCGUUGUCCGGAUUUAUUGGGCGUAAAGCGAGCGCAGGUGGUUUAUUAAGUCUGGUGUAAAAGGCAGUGGCUCAACCAUUGUAUGCAUUGGAAACUGGUAGACUUGAGUGCAGGAGAGGAGAGUGGAAUUCCAUGUGUAGCGGUGAAAUGCGUAGAUAUAUGGAGGAACACCGGUGGCGAAAGCGGCUCUCUGGCCUGUAACUGACACUGAGGCUCGAAAGCGUGGGGAGCAAACAGGAUUAGAUACCCUGGUAGUCCACGCC
rnacentral:rRNA from 1 species